rnacentral:rRNA from 1 species
UACGGAGGAUCCAAGCGUUGUCCGGAUUUACUGGGGUUAAAGGGUGCGUAGGUGGUCUUUUAAGUCAGUGGUGAAAGCCUGUAGCUUAACUAUAGAAUUGCCAUUGAAACUGAAAGUCUUGAGUACAGUUGAGGUGAGCGGAAUGUAUCAUGUAGCGGUGAAAUGCUUAGAUAUGAUACAGAACACCGAUUGCGAAGGCAGCUCACUAAACUGCAACUGACACUGAGGCACGAAAGCGUGGGGAUCAAACAGG